AUUGAACGCUGGCGGCAUGCUUUACACAUGCAAGUCGAACGGUAACAGGCCGCAAGGUGCUGACGAGUGGCGAACGGGUGAGUAAUGCAUCGGAACGUGCCCAGUCGUGGGGGAUAACGCAGCGAAAGCUGUGCUAAUACCGCAUACGAUCUGUGGAUGAAAGCGGGGGACCGAAAGGCCUCGCGCGAUUGGAGCGGCCGAUGUCAGAUUAGGUAGUUGGUGGGGUAAAGGCUCACCAAGCCAACGAUCUGUAGCUGGUCUGAGAGGACGACCAGCCACACUGGGACUGAGACACGGCCCAGACUCCUACGGGAGGCAGCAGUGGGGAAUUUUGGACAAUGGGCGCAAGCCUGAUCCAGCAAUGCCGCGUGCAGGAAGAAGGCCUUCGGGUUGUAAACUGCUUUUGUACGGAGCGAAAAGGCUCUCUCUAAUACAGGGGGCUCAUGACGGUACCGUAAGAAUAAGCACCGGCUAACUACGUGCCAGCCGCCGCGGUAACAC
rnacentral:rRNA from 1 species